UCUCAUCACCCGACUCCUCUUCUCCUCUUUCAAGAAAAAAAUGGCGACGGCGUUAGGGUUUUGCUAUCCAGUCCAAUUAAUGGUGUUUCAUGGCUGUUGUCCGCUGGAUUUUUUAGGGUUUCUGCCCUCUAUCGUGUUUUCUUAUGGUUGUCAGGUAGACAGGUAGACGAACCUGAUCCUUAGGAGGCUUUAUCAGCAGAGUUUCAGAAAGGCUCCAGUUGUCCCGGAGCUGCAGCUUAUUAGUACUUCUCUUUUGUGUAUAGAUUUGGGCACGGCAGAGUCCUGCCCCGUCCUUAUGGAUGCAUGUAUUCUCUAUAUAUAGAGGCUCGUAGACUGACACAUGUAUUUAGAUAUUCCGUAGUCUUAUCAGUACAUGUUGAUGUAUAGUAUUUUGACAGCCUUGUUGGCUUAUGUUUAUGGGCAUGGUUGUUGAUGAUUACAUAA